UACGAAGGGGGCUAGCGUUGCUCGGAAUCACUGGGCGUAAAGGGUGCGUAGGCGGGUCUUUAAGUCAGGGGUGAAAUCCUGGAGCUCAACUCCAGAACUGCCUUUGAUACUGAGGAUCUUGAGUUCGGGAGAGGUGAGUGGAACUGCGAGUGUAGAGGUGAAAUUCGUAGAUAUUCGCAAGAACACCAGUGGCGAAGGCGGCUCACUGGCCCGGAUACUGACGCUGAGGCACGAAAGCGUGGGGAGCAAACAGG
rnacentral:rRNA from 1 species